UUACGGCCAUAUCACGCUGAAAUAGCGGUUCCCGUACGAUCACCGAAGUUACGCAACGUUGUGCCUGGUCAGUACCUAGACGAGUGACCGUUUGGGAAUACCAGAUG
rnacentral:rRNA from 1 species